rnacentral:pre_miRNA from 1 species
CAUAUACUCCCUCCGUUCGGAAAUAGUUGUCCGAGGAAUAUAUGUAUCUAGUUGUAAUUUAGUUUUAGAUACAUCCACUUGUAUUAGUUUCCACCAAAAAUAUUUCCGAACGGAGGGAGUAUUUG